ACAAUCCACCGCACCUGCAAGCAGUGAGUGUGCUCUGUGCGUGCAGGGACAGCCAGGCUGAGGGUGUCCAGCCCAGCACAGCCCUGGGAGCAGCAGUGCAGCCCCACACACACGGCAGGGCACACCAAACCCGCUCCUGGCUCUGGCAGGGCUGCACAAGCCUUCCUGCAGACCUGCCUGAAACUGAGGCCUGGGGCGCGGCUGACGUUUUUGGAAAGAGUUCAGGAAUUCUGAAGGAUAGAACCUCAAAACAGAGGGCAAAAGCCUGACUUUGGAAAUGAAUACACCCUGGAAGCACGAGUGCCUGAAGCCCAGCCAGACAGAGCCAGCUGACAUCUGAAGAGCUCUGGAGCUGGCAGAUGCUCUCUCUCAGAGCUGGCUGCGUCCAGCACCCAUCCAAAGGUGCAAUCCCAUCACCUCCCCCUGGAGCUCCCCACGGCCAGCUGGGCAACAAGGAAAGACAGAUUCCCAGUUUUCCAUCGAGCCCAGCACAGAGGAGGGGAUGGGUGUUUUCCUGCCUGAGUGAGGAAUGCAGACCCCUGUGCCCCCCAGGACAAUGUUUCCCUUGUUCCCCUUCCCAAGGGGGUGGCUGGAAGAUGCUCCGGCCCCAAGGAGAUCAAAGAGCUGCCAGGACAGGCUGGUCAAGCAUUUCCCUUUCAUCUGAAUAUAUUGUUUGUGAUUCUGAGCCAUUCCCAAAGGUGAAGAAGGCUUCUAAUCAUUGCAGGAAGAGCCCUUGGAGAUGACAGCAAGAGAAAAAAAGAAAAUUAAGGAUUGCUUACAAGCACCAGGGAGCAGCAGGUUACAUAUUUGGAGCAAACUGCAUUUGUUGAUUUUACUUAAACAGGUUUCUAACAAAGAGAAAUUAGAAAUUCAGGCAGCAUAAAGGAAACAAUCACUUAACACUGGUACCUUAUAAUGGAACAGGGGCUGCUUUAUUGCCAGGAUAUCUAUUAUAUUGUAAGGUGUGCAUUUUGUAAUGUUUUGCAUUUCUAAGAAUUAACACUGCACUACAAUAAAAAGAACUUAAAUUAUUUUCA
rnacentral:lncRNA from 1 species